AGGAAACAUUCAGACCUGGAAGCUAAGCCCGUCCUAUUCCCCUUCAAGGGAAAAGGUUAAAAGCUGCAUGUGCCUGAAAUUUCUCCUUUCACAAAAUCUUGUGCCACCAGGGCCCAAAUUAUCCCUGUAGCCAUGGCUUAAUAGAGAGCUGCACUGCUUGGAGCCUGAGGAACAGACUCUUUCUGCUGUGGCACUCAAAGUACUUCAAAAACAUUAAUGAAUUAACCCUCACAACACCCCUGUGAAAAAGUCUUCUUUUAUUUUCCUCCUGAUCUCUACUUCAGAUGUCUCCUUUCCUACCAACACCCAA